CAACAACAACGGAGGGCGGAGGAGCGACGCUCACAACAACGAGCGGAGCGCCGGGUGGCUAAAGCACAGCAAGUUGGCACAGUAGGGGGCACAGGUGGUGCAUCAGCCAGUCAUCUCAGUCGACCCGUGGCACCUGGGUCUGCCCCGUGACCUCCUGCCAGCGGGCGUUCGACACUUCACGUGGCCUCAAGUGCUGGUGGAGGCAGGGAGCGAGCGUGCCUCCCGCGUGCUCUCCGCCCUCGCCGCGCCGCUCUGCGCCCUCUGCCGCUGCCGGGAGCUGCGCCCGCUGGCGGCCGCCUCCCCCCCGGCGGGACGCUGCGCCGGCGCCGUGGCGCCCGGCGGGGUCGCCACCGUCUACCUGCCGCUGCAGGGCGUAGUGGACUGCGAGCGGGAGCUGCGCCGUCUGGGCGCUGCCAGGGAGCGGGCGUUGUUCCGGCUGGGUGCCGCACGCAGGCGGGACAGCGACGAGGGGUACCGGCGCGCCACGCCGGAGAGCACGCGGCAAGAGCACCGCGCGCAGAUGGAGGCUCUGCAGAAGGAGGUGUCUGGGCUGGACAGGCUGCUGGAGCACCUCCGUGACGCGGCGACGAGAGGGGGCUGAUGCCCGCACGCGACGACGGGAGGAGUAGGCCAAAGGCCCUCAACCCCCCCCCCCCAGCGUAGACCAGAGGUCGCAACCGGGUACCCGAUACCCGUACCCUACCCGAUACCCGUACCCUACCCGAUACCCGGCUACCCGUACCCGGCCGGGUACAGGUAGGCCGUGAGUCACUGGUGAGUCACCGUUUGUCACUCAUUUCCCAACGUCUUGUCUCUUCUCACAAUUCAAGUUCCUAGAAUCAACCCACCCGCGCCUGCAACACGGCUUCAUCCCAGAGGUCGCAAUCGGGUACCCGAUACCCGUACCAUACCCGGCUGGGUAUCGGGUAGGGUACGGGUACCCGUUUGCGACCCUGGUGCGGCCGGGUACGGGUACGGGUAAGGAGUAAAAACCCGUUUGCGACCUCUGGCGUAGCCUCUAGCAGACUCACUUACACGCACCUACGUCAUCGGAAGGGGGAAAGGGUGAAACUCUGGGAAUGUGAGCAGGCCGCACGUGCAGACGUUGGGUGGUGCAGCAGCUGCAGCAGCAACUGCAGCAACUGCAGCAGCUGCAGCAGCAACUGCAGCAACUGCAGCAACUGCAGCAGCUGCAGC